GGCAAGGUCUCCAGGAAAUGGGGUGGUGCAAAAGACCCUCCAUGUUGUGCUUUUGUUUCUAAGGCUAUGGUGCCUCUGCUAUCCUUUUGUCUACAUAGACAGAUGAGCUGUUCCAGAUCUACAUAAAAUGGGAGGUGACGUUAUGGGACACGUCUGCUGAGAGCUCCAGUUCAACAGACAACCUCAACAGUCACCUCUCUAUUUAGAAGUCCUGAAGUUGAACUGGCUUAAGUGCAACUACGUAUGGGCUAUACAGGUUUAAAAAAUAAUAAUAAAAAAAGGUUGAGAUGUCUGAAUCAGAUGUCUGAAUCUAGGCAGAUGAGCUUCAGAUGUGUAAGGAUUAUGGGAAGUGGAACCGACAUCUCUUUGCUUUAAUGCUAAUCCUUAUGAUACAGAAGUACCCUGAAAGAAACCAUGAUCUGAUGGCCGAUAUCUGUGAAGACAUGUAACAGUGGAGUAAUUUUUCUGUUGGCUGAGAUGAAAACAAGGUAUUAAGAAAGCUAUUCUUUGUGAUUUUUUAUCUUCUUUUUAUGCUACAUAUUAGAAAGCCUUUUUUUCCUCCUUAGAAUGUGCUUUUGCAAAAUGUUCAUAGAUCUGGAGGUAGCCUUGCAAAAAUUCUAAAGGCCUUGAAAAUGCAUGCAAAAUAUUCAGCAUAUAAAGAGGAAGGAUUUUUUUUUUCCAAAUUAUCAUCAUUGAAAUUACAAUAGAAUUAUCAUGAGCCUUUAUACUGGGGAGUAGGGCUGAGGAUAUUGACCAUUUC
rnacentral:lncRNA from 1 species